rnacentral:lncRNA from 1 species
CUUACUCUUGGUCCAGGUCACUUCCCCCAAGGCAGGGAGCCAGGAGCCAGGGUCUGCCUGCUGGGGGCUGCCAGGGCACUGGGGUGGGGCACACAGGCCAUGUGACUUCUCAAAGGACGCCAAGGGCCCCGGGAGAGGAGACACAGGAGGAUGUUGACGGGAGGCAGCUGGACACAAGGCAGCACAGCCCUGGAGCAGCUCACUGGUCUCUGGCAAGGGUCAUGGUCCAAGCAGGAAGGCCCCCAAGCCUGGGUCUCCAGUGCUGAAAUGUCAUCUCACCCCGCAUCCUGUCUCCAGCCUGUGGGCCAGAAGCCACCAUCAGCAGCAGCAUCAAACAGAACAAGAGUAACGGACAUCUCUGCAGCUCCCUUGACUUUCAAAGCACACUCACACUCACUCCCUCUCUGACUCCUUGCAGUAACUCUGUGAGACUGGCACCUUAUGCCCAUUUUACAGAUGAGGAAACUGAGGCUCAGUGCAGGGGAAGGGACUGGCCCCAAGGCACACUGGCACCUGGGUCUUCUGAAGCCUCAUCCUCUUAUCUUCCCAUCUGCUGACUUCACACUGCUCCAGUCAUGGUGUAACUCAACUCAGUUUUUCUUUCAAAUGUCUUGAGUGUCCUUGGCUGCAGGAUAAAAAGUGAGAGAGAUGAUGGACUCCUUCAGAACCACAGGGCAGCUCUGUGAUCCUUCAGGACUGAAAAGGAUCAAAGUUGAGUCAGGAGGAACUUCCUAGAGGAAGGCAACUUGAGAGGAGUGUGUGCUGCAGAUGAGGGCACAGAGGCUGGACCACAAGGCCUGAGAGAGGGGACCCGAAGAGUUAGCAAGGAAGAUGGCCACCCCGAGGCACAGGCACCCUGAAUCUCUCCCUGUGUCCUCAGCACAAGGCCUGGUACUCCCUGUCCUUCCAUGCACUUGGGUACGGCAUUGUCCAGUGUCCCCUUCCCCAAGACAUGAAGUCUGGGGAAAUUAAGUCCUUCCCACCUCUUGAAUGAAUUGAUCAGAUCUUGUGGUGUCUUGGCAGGAGGUAUGGGUGCAGAACGAGGCACAGGUGGGAGGGAGGGUGGAUUUUGAAGGAAAAGGUUGCAGAUGGGAAGGUGGACGCCUCUGAAGAAUUCUACUGUUACGUCAAAGGAAGAGAGAAGACAACUCUCAUUGGGGCAUGACCCACCAAAGGGCUUGGAGGUGGGAGAAGCCGAUGAAUGUGGGUCAGACAGGGCCCCUUGCAGGAUGGGGUGGAGGCUGGAGCAGACGGUGGGGGAGGGCACUGUGGGACUGGCCCACUUUGACGCUCCAGUUAAUCUACUGGACUCCAAAAUUGGCUAAUUUUUCCCACCCCUCUCACUACUAAUGCAGCUCCAGAAUCAAAGCGCUGACCCCAAAGCAGUCCUCAGGCCACCCCCCACAAC